AUAAUACUUCUAAAUAUCUUUCAUAGGAAUCUAACCAACUUUUGAAUCUUGGAAUUAAAAACUCUUCAGUAGACUUGAAGAAUGAGAGAUCUGUUAUCUGCAUAAGAAAGCCCAGGAACAUAAAGGAUGGAAAAUGUCAUCUCUUCAAACUGACAUUUCCCAGUCAACCACACUGUUCGUCUUUAGGAUGUAGAUGAGCAAGGAUCCGACAGAGAGACCACAAUCCUGCAAUGCUCAUCUGCUGUAUUGAUCUCAGAGAUCAGAGAUCAGAGAUAAUUAGGCAAAGAGCACAUCUGUGAUCACUGAAAAUGAUUCUGAGGCCAGAAACAGUGCUUCCCAAAGCAACUUGAAUGUUCCAGAGCCA
rnacentral:lncRNA from 1 species